UCUAAUGUGGCAGAACCACAUGUGAUGAAUUUAAAAUUCAUUUAUAAAUAUUUAUAUUUCUUUAGAA
rnacentral:tRNA from 1 species